GUUAUUCUAGCUUUCUGUUCCCAAUAUUGUUCCUCACACUUCAGUUCAACACAUAGCUCCUUCUCUGCCUAGCACACAGAUGAAAAGUCAACACCGUUCUUAUCCGUUUUCAAAUGAGAGAUCGUUUCCUCCAACCAUUGUAUUCUCCUUUUUGAAUUCAUAUUUUACUGUUUAUUCCAUUCUCUCAAAGCAAGUCUGUAAGCUUUUAGUUUAGAAAAAGCCUUGAAGCGAGGAGAACCAUGAACCUCCUUCUUCCAUGCUUCUUAAAUGACAUACUUAGCAGUUGGUUUGGAGACCCAUCUAGCAUCAAAUAUGAAGAACCUUUUAGCUUUUCGAAACGAAGGUUCAAAAUCUACUAAAAUGGAGCAAUGGUAAGAUUCCAAAUCCUCCAUGUACUGAAGCAUUCCAAUACAAAGAGAGCCAUGCAUAAAUAGAUAAGGAUCUAUCCAGCCUCUCUUGAAUAUUAAGAAUCUCAUUUCUCCUAUUAUUCCAGGUAAACAUUGGACCAUUGAAACCCAUGCCAACUAAACCCAAGGAAGAAAUGAAAUUCCUAAACCGAUUUGAAUGAGAAUUAAGCAUAUUUUGACCUCCUCUUUUCUCUCAGGACUAAAGCAUCUUAUUAAAUCCCUCAUUACCAAACAAGCAUUUCCCAAUUUCUGUUUAUACUCAACAGAAAAUCAAACUGAGCCAACCCAUCAGAAUCAUUACAGCUAAUAUAAGUUAAAAGAAGUGGUCAAGUGAUAUUUUUAGCCUGGUCACCAAUUUCUACAUGUAUAAAUAAGGAAGAGUAUUUCACUAAUGAAACGUUUAUCCUCGAUUUCCAUGCAAAACACAGGCCCCUGCUAAACCAACUAGAUCAACCGCAAUAAAAUCAAAGAAGCCACAUUUAUUCAGCUUUUUCUUGACCACAGAAAAAAUAUUUUUUAUUUUCAUGAGAAAUAAAAAAAUCAGGAGAAUGGGAUAGACAAAUCCCUUUAAUAUUGUGGAUUGUCAGGGGUUCCCCACACCCUGACAAUUCUACUUUAGUAGCUUCAUUUAUACUCUUAGGGUCAUUUAGGGCUGGCUACCUUUACCUCUAGUGAAGUUAUGAGAAAAAUUCGAGAUUUCUUAUCAUUCACGUUGUCUUCCUUCGUUUCCCUUCGGCGUUUGUUCAAUCCCAGAACCUUGAGGGUAUUGAUCAUGUCUGGAGGAGUGUUGUCUAGGCCAAAAUAACUAAUAUAACUGAAUCAUAUAUAUAUAUAUUAGCUUGUUCCUCUUGCAAAUCAAUAGAUGAUAGAACUAUGAGUCUCACUCGGUUCGAAAUGACCAAACUGAGUAGUAGUGCCCUUGAAGUCCUUAGAGAGUGUCAUCCAUUACCAAGCCAUAGUAUGCUUAGAUGGUCCAUUUGAUAAUAAUCAAUCAAAUGAGAGGUGUCUUCUACCAUUACAACAUUAGAUUCAAUUAAACUAAAAUUAGAGAAUAUCUAUGCAAAAGUGAUAAUUUCUGAAUUCUUUAAAAAUGAGUGAAAAACAUUUUAUUUGCAUUUAUAUAAAUAGAAAAUUAACAAACACUCCAGGUAUGCAAUUUUCAAUACUUAAAUAAUUCUCUUCACUUUUAAAAAAUUUUAAAAAUAUUUUAUUAAUUUAAAUAUCGAAGUAAUUGUCAAUCGAGAAUCUAUCAGCAAUAUAUAUAUAUAAAAGGACCAUUGAUAAUUUAAUUUACCUAUAAAAUCAAAUAUAAAGAGCAAUAUAUACAUAUAUAUUAGCUUCUAAAUACAAUUGUAUUCCACAUGUAAACAUAAAAAUUUAUAUAUUAGUUGAAGAUUUUAUACCUUACCAUCCAUCUAAAUUAAUAAUUAAAUAAUAAAAAUAAAUCUGAUUAAAUUUUUAUAUUUUUAUUCAAGAGUUAAAUAAUUAAGUCUAAUUUAAUUUUUUAAUUAAUUAAAUCCAUUUAUUUUUACUGAGAGUUGAAUGAGUCAUGAUUUAAUAUAAUAUUUUAAUAAUAAAAUAUUAUUUUUAAUAAUAAUAAUAUAAUUUUUAUAGUAAAACUUCACUUUGGUAAUUUUAAAUUUUAUUUAUUAUAUAUAUUAAAUUUUAUGUUAAUUAAAAUAUUAAACUUUUGGUAUUAAUUAAAAAAAUAAUAUUUUACUAUUUUAAAAAUAAUAUUUUAUUAUUUUAAAAAUAAUAUUAUAUUAAAUCAAAACUUAUUUGAGGUUUACUAAAAAUAUAGAGGGUUAGUUGAUAAAAAAAUUAAAUUGAAUUUAUUUGACCAUUGAGAAAAUUAUAAGAGCUUAAUUAGACUUAAUCUCUAUUUAUUUGUAAAAAUAAUUUAUAUUUUAAAAAUAUAUUUUUGAAAAAUAUUUUCUCUGUAAAAAUAUUUUCACAAAAUAACUUAUUUUUAUUAUUUAAUUUUAAUUUAAAAAUAAAAAAUAUUUUUUUAAAAGAGAAAGUUCUUUUUCUUAAAAUUAUUUUUUUUAUCUAAAAAAUAUUUUUUGUUUACUAAAUUUUAUGAGUAUCUAAAUACUAAAAAAUAUUUUUUAAAAAAAUAUUUUUUGUGAAACAUAUGGACCUUAAUUCUAUUAAAUAAUAUUUAUAUAAAUAUUAAUUUUAAGCUGAGAAAUGAAAUUGUAAAUUAGUUAUGAAAUUGUAAAAUACUUACAAUAUAAGGAAAUAAUUUAUUUUUAAAAACAAUUGGUAUAAGAUGGAGUUCUAAGUAUUUAUGUAAAAUUGAGCUACUAAGUAUUUUAAUUUCGAAAAUAUAGUAAUCCAAUUGAUAAUAAUAAUGAGAAAAUUUAAUGAGUAAAUAGUAAUUUCAUAAAGAAAACACUUGUGAACAAUCUGGACAGAAUUUAAAAAAAAAAAAAAAAAAGUCUCUUUUUGGAUUUUUUCAAAGAGUGAUUCUCUCAAUUUAGCUUUCUAUCUGAAGUGAACUAUGAGGUUUUGCUUCAUUUCAUUUGUCAUGUGUUUUUGCUACAUUGUCUUCUAGGCUAUCUUUUUUGCUUGCUGGUGUUUCUUCCAAAUUGAUGGUUCUCCUCCUAUUUAUGUCUGACAUUUGUUUGAUGGUGGUUGAUUAUGAAGCAGAGUCUCAGAAUGCAUGAAUGGUUGCAAAAGAGCAUACUUCCAUCUCCUUUGUCAGUGCCUAUUUUGAUAUAUGAUUGGUCCUUGAUAUCAGUGCUGGUGUAUUUUACCUUCUUGGGCUUGAGUGAGUUGAGCUAUGGUCAUACAACUACUGUUAAAAGAGUCUCUAAAAGGAAAAGAGAUGUAUGGAACUGUUUUCCAUUUAUAUACUUAGUGAAAUUUGGCAUAUCUUAACCAAAGCCUUUACAGGGCUCACCGUGCACCUGUGUGGUCUGGAGAGGAAGAAAUUGGUGAUCUAAACAACUUCUUAAUCCCUAGGGUUUGAGGUUUAGGUUGGUUAUUGAAUCUGUUGGCCUAGAGGCCUUUUGUGAAUGCUAAGAUGUGGGAAUUGGGCCUAAAUAUUACCUUCAAUAUAAAAAAGGGGGAAAUAAACACACUUGUGUGCAGAAUACAGAAAGCUGAAGAAAAAACGACUGACCACUCACAGACGACGACGAAGGCUGCCCUACGCCAAAUUCCUCUCUCCUGUCGAUCCAUGACCGCGGGUUCCAAGAACCACCACCAACCUUCUUCUUCCCGGCCACCCAGAAACCUUAGCCUCGCUACCACAGUGACUAACUUCC
rnacentral:lncRNA from 1 species